UCCCCGAUAGCUCAAUCGGCAGAGCGGGUGACUGUUAAUCACUAGGUUGGCGGUUCAAGUCCGUCCCGGGGAGCCA
rnacentral:tRNA from 1 species